UACGGGGGGGGCAAGCGUUGUUCGGAAUUACUGGGCGUAAAGGGCGCGUAGGCGGCCACCGCAAGUCGACUGUGAAAUCCCCGGGCUUAACCUGGGAAUGGCGAUGGAUACUGGGCAGCUAGAGUGUGUCAGAGGAUGGUGGAAUUCCCGGUGUAGCGGUGAAAUGCGUAGAGAUCGGGAGGAACAUCAGUGGCGAAGGCGGCCAUCUGGGACAACACUGACGCUGAAGCACGAAAGCGUGGGGAGCAAACAGG
rnacentral:rRNA from 1 species